rnacentral:rRNA from 1 species
ACUCGUAGACUCCUACGGGAGGCAGCAGUGGGAAUAUUGGACAAUGGGCGGAAGCCUGAUCCAGCCAUGCCGCGUGUGGNGAAGAAGGCCUUUGGUUGUAAAGCACUUUAAGCGAGGAGGAGGCUCCUUUAGUUAAUACCUAAAGAGAGUGGACGUUACUCGCAGAAUAAGCACCGGCUAACUCGUGCCAGCAGCCGCGGUAAUACAGAGGGUGCGAGCGUUAAUCGGAUUUACUGGGCGUAAAGCGUGCGUAGGCGGCUUUUUAAGUCGGAUGUGAAAUCCCUGAGCUUAACUUAGGAAUUGCAUUCGAUACUGGAAAGCUAGAGUAUGGGAGAGGAUGGUAGAAUUCCAGGUGUAGCGGUGAAAUGCGUAGAGAUCUGGAGGAAUACCGAUGGCGAAGGCAGCCAUCUGGCCUAAUACUGACGCUGAGGUACGAAAGCAUGGGGAGCAAACAGGAUUAGAUACCCUGGUAG